rnacentral:rRNA from 1 species
AGAGUUUGAUCAUGGCUCAGGACGAACGCUGGCGGCGUGCUUAACACAUGCAAGUCGAGCGGAAAGGCCCCUUCGGGGGUACUCGAGCGGCGAACGGGUGAGUAACACGUGAGCAACCUGCCCCUGACUCUGGGAUAAGCCCGGGAAACUGGGUCUAAUACCGGAUAUGACCACUCCAGGCAUCUGGUGGUGGUGGAAAGUUUUUCGGUUGGGGAUGGGCUCGCGGCCUAUCAGCUUGUUGGUGGGUUGAUGGCCUACCAAGGCGACGACGGGUAACCGGCCUGAGAGGGCGACCGGUCACACUGGGACUGAGACACGGCCCAGACUCCUACGGGAGGCAGCAGUGGGGAAUAUUGCGCAAUGGGCGGAAGCCUGAUGCAGCGACGCCGCGUGAGGGAUGACGGCCUUCGGGUUGUAAACCUCUUUCAGCAGGGAAGAAGCGAAAGUGACGGUACCUGCAGAAGAAGCGCCGGCUAACUACGUGCCAGCAGCCGCGGUAAUACGUAGGGCGCGAGCGUUGUCCGGAAUUAUUGGGCGUAAAGAGCUCGUAGGCGGCUUGUCGCGUCGGUUGUGAAAGCCCGGGGCUUAACCCCGGGUCUGCAGUCGAUACGGGCAGGCUAGAGUUCGGUAGGGGAGAUCGGAAUUCCUGGUGUAGCGGUGAAAUGCGCAGAUAUCAGGAGGAACACCGGUGGCGAAGGCGGAUCUCUGGGCCGAUACUGACGCUGAGGAGCGAAAGCGUGGGGAGCGAACAGGAUUAGAUACCCUGGUAGUCCACGCCGUAAACGGUGGGCACUAGGUGUGGGCGACAUUCCACGUCGUCCGUGCCGCAGCUAACGCAUUAAGUGCCCCGCCUGGGGAGUACGGCCGCAAGGCUAAAACUCAAAUGAAUUGACGG